AUUGAACGCUGGCGGCAGGCCUAACACAUGCAAGUCGAGCGGAUGAAGAGAGCUUGCUCUCUGGUUCAGCGGCGGACGGGUGAGUAAUGCCUAGGAAUCUGCCUGGUAGUGGGGGACAACGUUUCGAAAGGAACGCUAAUACCGCAUACGUCCUAUGGGAGAAAGUGGGGGAUCUUCGGACCUCACGCUAUCAGAUGAGCCUAGGUACGAUUAGCUAGUUGGUGAGGUAAAGGCUCACCAAGGCGACGAUCGUUAACUGGUCUGAGAGGAUGAUCAGUCACACUGGAACUGAGACACGGUCCAGACUCCUACGGGAGGCAGCAGUGGGGAAUAUUGGACAAUGGGCGAAAGCCUGAUCCAGCCAUGCCGCGUGUGUGAAGAAGGUCUUCGGAUUGUAAAGCACUUUAAGUUGGGAGGAAGGGCAGUAAGUUAAUACCUUGCUGUUUUGACGUUACCGACAGAAUAAGCACCGGCUAACUUCGUGCCAGCCGCCGCAGUAA
rnacentral:rRNA from 1 species